CGACUCCAGUGAAGCGUUUUGUGUGACGCGUGGCACCAACUGCGCCUCAGCGUCCCAAUUAUACUUUUCGGCGGGGAGUAGAGCGUAUAGGAUGCUGUGACAAGGAGCUUGGAUGGAGGGACACCACAAUAUAAAAGCGACAGUACCAACACUCAUUUUUAUUAGUCCUUUAUAGCGCGAUAGGCUUGUCUCUCGAAGUGCGCCCUCGUCAUCAGUAGGCUGUUUGUAAACACAGUGUGCAUGUGUUGCGAUAAACAUCAUGGCCUAAGGACACCUCAUCCCGCAACUGAGGCUGGAGGAGUCGACUGAGGAAGAGCAGAUAUCAUUGUGCCUUGUGUAUAAAAAUGUAAGAUAAGCAGGGAUCCAACCCCCCUUGAGGUUGUUGAAAGGGCAACCAAGGAAGUGAGAGAAAGAAAGAAGUCCAUUCGAACAGCAGCAAGGGAUGAAACAUUUAAUGAAUGACUAUGAAGAGGACACCAUCCAACUGGAAGGACGUCUUUGAAUGGAUUUACCCCAAGGCGGCUCAACUUACCCUGUCCCUAUGCUCAACUUAUCCCAUACCUGGUGUAUGCUGUGCAAAGAGACCACUUUUCUGUACAAGCUAUGUUUUCAAAACUGUUAGACGUUUAUGAAUUCUGAUUAUUUCCAGCGAUACACAAACAUCCUAAAAUAUGUAGAUAUCUUUGUUAGACUAUAUUUCCCUUGACGUAGUGAUGCUGAAUGUAAUAAAUGGCUCAACAUACCCCACUCUCCCCUAUAUGUU
ensembl:lncRNA